ensembl:snRNA U6 U6 spliceosomal RNA
GUGCUCCCUUCGGCAGUACAUACACUAAAAUUGUAACAAUACAGAGAAGAUUAUCACGGCCCAUGGACAAGGAUGACACAAAAAUUCGUGAAGCAUUCCAUAUUUUU